CCUACGGGCGGCAGCAGUGAGGAAUAUUGGUCAAUGGGCGUAAGCCUGAACCAGCCAAGUCGCGCGAGGGAUGAAGGUUCUAUGGAUCGUCAACCUCUUUUAUAAGGGAAUAAAGUGCGGGACGUGUCCCGUUUUGUAUGUACCUUAUGAAUAAGGAUCGGCUAACUCCGUGCCAGCAGCCGCGGUAAUACGGAGGAUCCGAACGUUAUCCGGAUUUAUUGGGUUUAAAGGGGGCGUAGGCGGCCUUUUAAGUCAGCGGGGAAAGUUGGUGGCUCCACCAUAGAAUUGCCGUUGAAACUGGGAGGAUUGAGUAUGUUUGAGGCAGGCGGAAUGCGUGGUGUAGCGGUGAAAGGCUUAGAUAUCACGCAGAACCCCGAUGGCGAAGGCAGCCUGCCAGGCCAUGACUGACGCUGAUGCACGAAAGCGUGGGGAUCAAACAGGAUUAGAUACCCCAGUAGUC
rnacentral:rRNA from 1 species